CGUAAAAACGCGUUUUCCCGCAAAAACGCAUUUUCCCGCAAAAACGCGUUUUCUCGCAAAAACGCAUUUUCCCGCAAAAACGCAUUUUCCCGCCAAAACCCAAAAACGUGUUUUCCCUCCAAAACCGCAAAAACACAUUUUCCUCUAAAACCACAAAACACGCUUUCCCGCCAAAACUGCAAAAACUCGUUUUCCCACAAAAACGUGGUUUUCUGCCUAAAUCGCAAAAACUUGUUUUCCACAAAAACCACAAAACGCGUUUUCCCGCCGAAACUGCAAAAACUCAUUUUCCAGCAAAAAUGCGUUUUCCGCCAAAACCACAAAAAACGUUUUCUCAUUUCGAUCAACUUGGUCUUAACUUAAAAAUAAUUCAUUAUAAAGAUGUUGGGUUGAUGGGUCAAACAUUAACCCAUCUAACAUAUUUAAUUUAAUGGAUCAUCGGUCAACCCAACCUAUUUAUUAAAUGGGUUGGGUUGACCCAUGACCCAUUAACAAUAAACUCAUUUGGGUUAUGGGUUGGAUUGACCCAUUUGACCCAUUUUGACACCCUUAAAAGGAGAUAUCAAAAUAUAAGUAUGUAUUUUCAUAUGAUGUAUAAUUUAAUUUAAACGAUAUGAAAUAUAUAUAUAUAUUAACAUAAACACCUAUUAAAAUAAAAUUAUUUAUUUAUAUGAUUUUAUAAUCAUUAUAUCUUAUUAUAGAAAAUUCUUUUAACUUUGAUCACAAAAGUAUAUGUGAGAGUUUUAAUAGUUUUAGUAAUUUAUACUCGUUUUGAAAAAUUUAAAAUACAACAUAUACAAAAAAAUCUAAAUUUUUAUUAUAUGAUUAAUGUAAUUGUGUAAUUUAUUAUAAUAAUAAAUAAUUAAACAAAAAUGAUAGAAAAUAUAGAGAUUGUUAGCAAAUCUUUAUUGUUUAAAAUCAUUAAUUAUCAUAUAUAUCUUAAUCACAUUAGGUAAUUGCGUAUGUUUUAUUUAAGAAAAUAAUAUAUAAUCAUUUCAAGUUGAUAAAUGAAUAGUGCAUAAUGGACAUAAUAUAUAUAUAACAUUCUUUAGCAAUUUAAUUUUGGACUAACAAAAUUCUCAAUUGAUUCUUAAGCCGGCAUGUAAGCAAAAUUAGCAUUUUAAUUAUGUGACAAUUCAGCAUGACAUUUUUUUAAUUAGUAAAAUCUACAUGUUAUAACUUUUUAAAUGUUUCUCUAUUAAUAUAUAGGGGAUGUUUAUUGUUUUGGUAAUUUCUAGGGAACAAUUACUUAACUCUUCAUAUCAAAUCAUAAUAACAUUUGUACAAUUUAAACAGAAAAUAAAUACAAGUAUCUUUUGGAAUAAUUUUGGGAUCUAUAGACCAACAGACAAAUAUCAAAAUUGACCAGAAACAUUGAAAAAUCUUAUGUUAAUUAUUUGGUAACUUGCGACAAAAAUAUUAGGUAAUUAUAGAGAUAUCUGCUUCUAAGGCAAAUAUCUUAUAUUUAUAAAUUUGCUUCCUCUUUUCUUCUUGUAGACAACUAACCCCUCACCCCACCCCAGGCCCUAAAAACAAUGGUGAAGGCAAGCUUGUUUCUAGUUGCAAUACUUUCUAGCUUCAUGGCCAUUACAUCUCUUGCACGGCCAUACCCGACUCUUGAUGCACAGGUUUUAAUUUUAUGGUGAAGUUAAUUCUUAAUAGACUUGGAAACUGAUUUAACCUACCAUGUAGACCAUUUUACACACUCUUUCCAUUUUCUUUUAAUUGACGUUUUAAAAUCAUUGUAUCAAUAUAUUUGACGCUUACAAAAAAACUAUGCAAAAAAUAAUGACCAAUGGACUUUUAUUUACCCUUGUGUCGUUAACAAAUUCAAGUUUCAAAGUGCAAUACGAGAGAUGAUAUUAAAUUUAUUAAGAAUGGUAAAAAUGAUAUUGUAUUAAUGCCUUAAUCUGGGUGAAAAUCAUACAACUUCAUGUAAAAGAAAACAGAUUAUAAUUCAUCCAAUAUGCUCAAAUGUUCAAUCUUAAAACUUAAGUACCAAAUAACUGUGUUGUUCAAACAAUGAUAUAUAGAGUAGGUUCAGAAUUAAGAGUAGGGGAAUUGUAUCCUACAUGCAUCAAACAAAUUAUAAUUCAUCCACUAACUAAAAAUCAUAUUUUUUCAAUAUACACUGUACACAUUAUAGAUUAUUUUCAUAUUACCCUUGCAACCAACCGGUGAAACCUACUAACAAAAAUAACUAAAAAAUAUAUAAAAGACUUUUAGCCACAUCUUCUAAUCCAUCACCACCACCUCCACGUCUCUACUCCACCAUCUCUUUCCAAUGUCUCUCUUUCUUCAGAUUAUAAAAAAAAUCAUACAUUUUCUUAUGUCACAUAAUUCUUCUCUUUCAAUACUUCACCAAAAGAACAAUCAAUUGUUCUAAAGAAGAGACAACGAUGAAGUCAUAGACGAUCCAGUGGUGAAGAACAGACAACGAUGAAAGCGUAGACAAUCCAGUGGUGAAGAACAACGACGGCGAAUCAGUUAAAGCAUCAUCGUGUCGGGAAAAAGAGAGGAGAUGAAGAUGAUCUCUAUAUGGUGGUGAACGAAAUGAAUAUGUAUCAGCCUAUCUAAAAAAAUGAAUUAAAGAAGAUGAAUUCGUUGUCUAUACUAUAUUUGGUGAAAUGAAGUAUAGUAUAUGUUUUUAAGUAUAGCUACUUAUGUACAGUUACCAUACUAUUUGAGACAUAUUUUUAUACUACUCCUUAAAAAUGUAAUAAUAUGUCAUGUUUUUAAAUUUGAUAGGUCUCUUCUUUGUCAAUUUGUGUGAUUGAUUGUAAUAUGAAAUUCAUUUUUCGAGUGUUGGACAAAUUUGAUUAUUUGGAACAUUCGUUUACUAUACUACUUGGACUAUAUAUAAUAUAAGAUAUGCAAUAUGCUAACCAAGUAAAUGUGAUUUCAAGAGUUAAAUCUUGGAAAACAAUUUAUAGAUUGUAUUUGGGUUUAUAGGUUCCUGCCUCGGGUUUAGAUUUACUAAGUAAAUGUUUGGGUAUAGUAAACCAUAUUAUAUACAUUAUAUUUGGGUUUAUACUUCCUUGAUUAGGGUUUAGCUUAAUCUAUUUAUUUAGGUUUAGGGUUUAGGGUAUAUUUGGAUUAGGGUUUAGUGACUAGAAUGUAAGGUUUAGUAUUUAGAAGGUGAGGGGGUAUGGUUGGGGUGAGCAUUAGCUUCUUUCAUGCAAUCAUAGAUAUUUUAUAGUUUCACCAAUAUGUACGAUGUCAUUUAUUUUGAUCCAUUCUAUUUGGGUUUUGUGUUUAUAUUUGAGUUUAAGGUUUAUAUUUUCGUUAGGGUUUAGUGAUUAGAGUUUAGGGUUUAGAUUUACUAAGUAAAGGUUUGGGUAUAGUAAACCAUAUUAUAUAUAUAUAUAUAUAUUCUAUUUGGGUUUAUAUUUUCUUGAUUAGGGUUUAGCUUAAUCUAUUCAUUUCAAGUAAAUGUGCUUUCAAGUGUUUAAUAUUGGAAAACAAUUUAUAUAUUGUAUUUGGGUUUAUAGGUUUCUGCCUAGGGUUUAGAUUUACUAAGUAAAGGUUUGAGUUUAGUAAACCAUAUUAUAUACAUUCUAUUUGGGUUUAUACUUCCUUGAUUAGGGUUUAGCUUAAUCUAUUUAUUUAGGUUUAGGGUUUAGGGUGUAUUUGGAUUAGAGUUUAGUGACUAUAACUUAGGGUUUAGUAUUUAGAAGGUGAGGGGGUAUGGUUGGAGUGAUCAUUAACUUAUUUCAUGUAAUCAUAGAUAUUUUAUAAUAUCACCUAUAUGUACUAUGUUAUUUAUUUUGUUUCAUUUUAUUUGGGUUUUGUGUUUAUAUUUGGGUUUAGAGUUUAUAUUUGAGUUAGGGUUUAAUGAUUAGAGUUUAGGGUUUAGUGAUAUGAACCCGUCAAUGUCGUAGUGUCAGUCUAUUCUAUUCAAUAAUUGAAUAGUAAAACAUUCAUAUAACCUUGCUACUAAAGUCCUCUGAAUUAUUGAACGAGAACUAAAGUUUAGUUCCUCGUACACUCUAAAAGUACUAAACUAUAUCCACCAUGUAGUAUAGUAUUAUGAACCUGGUGAAUGUCAUUAUUUGGAAACGGGGAAAACUGUUUAUAUCUCGGAUGUGGAUUGACAUUUUCAAGUUAGAGUUUAGUGUUAUCAUCUGGGUGGGGGUUUCAAUAACUCAUCCUCGUUGCUCCGUCACUUGUAUUAGUGAUAUGAACUCAUCCAUGUCGUAGUGUCAGUCUAUUCUAUCCAAUAAUAUAGUAGUUGAAUAUCCAUAUAACCUUGCUACUAAAAUUUAUUUCACAGUACACUGUAAACGUACUAUACUAUAUCCACCAUAUAGUAUAGUGGUAUGAACCUGGGUACACUUGAUAUUUGAAAACGUGAGAAACUGUUUAUAUCUUGGAUGUAGGUUGACAUAUCCGGAUUAUAUUAGAGAUAUUCAAUUUCUUAAAGAAUAGUAGCAAGACAUUGUAACUUUACCAUAUUACAUCAUCUACACAUUUGUCAACAUCAAUACUAUUAAAAUGGAAGGAGUCCUAAAAAAUCUACUUACAAAAGGUUGUUGCACCUAUUUAUUUUUUAGUCCAACCUAUAAUAUACAACUAAAAUAUUUUAAACUAACCCCUAUUAUAUAGCAAUUAGCAACCAUAUAAUAUCCUCUAACGUUUAAAUAAAUCUCACCCAGUUUAAUAAGAUCAUGACUAUAAUAUAUGGAAUGUUUCAAAUGGUUAUUUUGCUUAAAUCAUCUUCCUUCAAUUUAACGUAUAUACAUUUGAUAUAAACAACACCGAAGUUUCAAUACGUAAACGUCAUUAUCAUAUAUACUAUCGUCUUCCAUUAGAUCAAAAUUUUCUUACGAGAUCAACUUUUGAAAUAUAAAUGAGCCAUGUCUUAUUAAACAUUAUUGAUCAAACCUCAAGAGUAUUUUCCACCCAAAAUUUUAUAAAAUGAAUCAAUGAAUUUUGCUAGGUCUGUAGUUCUUAGACCUAAUAAGGUAUUUAGAAGAAAAAUAUUUGGGUCAGAUCGAUUUCUUUCGGAUCUGGAUGGUUUCGGCUACAUAAUUCAAAUACCUAUAAAAUAUUUGUUAUUUUUUUGUACGUAACGGGUAUGAAUAUGUUCAGAUAUUUUUUUUUUUUCCGUCAAGGUUUUUUUUUUUUUAUUAUUAUUGCAAAACGAAAAACAAACAACAAAAGCCCGAACCCAACAGUACUGGACCCGGGCCCAGCAAUAUGUUACAAACCAAAAGCCCACAAACAGUCGGGCAACCAUUCAAAACAUAAAACGGGCCUGCAGCCCACCUCACUCAACUCGAAUAUGUUCAGAUAUUUAAGAUUCAAAUUAUACUCAAUAAACAUAAAAAUACUCGAAACACGAAAAAUAUCCAAAAAUCUAAACAAAAACCCGAAAA